GACGGAGGGUGCUAGCGUUGUUCGGAAUUACUGGGCGUAAAGGGCGCGUAGGCGGAUUGUUAAGUCAGGGGUGAAAUCCUGGAGCUCAACUCCAGAACUGCCUUUGAUACUGGCGAUCUCGAGUCCGGGAGAGGUGAGUGGAACUGCGAGUGUAGAGGUGAAAUUCGUAGAUAUUCGCAAGAACACCAGUGGCGAAGGCGGCUCACUGGCCCGGUACUGACGCUGAGGUGCGAAAGCGUGGGGAGCAAACAGG
rnacentral:rRNA from 1 species